GAGUGAUGCGAUGAGGAUAAAAGAGCUCCCUCUUCUGAUUGAAUUGUGAGGACGCUCGCUGGCAUGAAUCGAACCAAUUAACAAUCGCCAACACUGAGCAU